GAUGAACGCUAGCUACACGCUUAACCCAUGCAAAUCGAGGGACCGGCGCCCGGGUGAGUAACACGUAUCUAACCUGCCCUUUACUCGGGGAUAGCCUUUCGAAAGAAAGAUUAAUACCCGAUAUAAAGGCUGGGGAUGCGUUCCAUUAGGUUGUUGGUGAGGUAACGGCUCACCAAGCCUUGGAUGGAUAUGGGUUCUAAGAGGAAGGUCCCCCAAAGUGAAACUGGGACGAUGUCCAAACUCGUGCGCAAGGCAGCAGGGAGUAAUAUUUGUCAAAGGGCGCUAGCCGGAACCAGCCAAGUAACGUGAAGGAUGGAGGCUUAUGGGUGGUAAACUUCUUGUAUAUAAUAAUAUGAAGGAUAUGAAUAGGGAGCGGCUAAUUCCGUGGCAGGAGCCGCGGUAAUAG
rnacentral:rRNA from 1 species